UGCAAACCUGAUGGAGCAAUGCCGCGUGAAUGAAGAAGGUCUUCGGAUCGUAAAGUUCUGUUAUUAGAGAAGAACAAGUCGAGGAGUAACUGUCUCGACUUUGACGGUACCUAACCAGAAAGUCACGGCUAACUACGUGCCAGCAGCCGCGUAAU
rnacentral:rRNA from 1 species